CCUACGGGUGGCAGCAGUGAGGAAUAUUGGUCAAUGGGCGCGAGCCUGAACCAGCCAAGUCGCGUGAAGGAUGACGGCCCUAUGGGUUGUAAACCUCUUUUGUCGGGGAACAAAACCCGGGACGUGUCCCGGACUGCGUGUACCCGAAGAAAAAGCAUCGGCUAACUCCGUGCCAGCAGCCGCGGUAAUACGGAGGAUGCGAGCGUUAUCCGGAUUUAUUGGGUUUAAAGGGUGCGGAGGCGGUCUGUUAAGUCAGCGGUAAAAUUGCGGGGCUCAACCCCGUCGAGCCGUGGAAACUGGCAGGCUUGAGUUGGCGAGAAGUAGGCGGAAUGCGCGGUGUAGCGGUGAAAUGCAUGGAUAUCGCGCAGAACUCCGAUUGCGAAGGCAGCAUACCGGAGCCAGACUGACGCUGAGGCACGAAAGCGUGGGGAUCGAACAGGAUUAGAUACCCGAGUAGUC
rnacentral:rRNA from 1 species